AAAAGUUAAAACACAAAAUUAAUUAAGAUGAUCAAAAUGAGCAAAACAGAAAGAAACAGUAGAUCUUCCGGAUCCGACCCGGUCAAUCCUGGGUAAAGCUGUACCCGUCAAAGAUAUAAGCGGCGAAACCGGAGAAAAGGAAGCAGGAAAAAAGAACAAAAAAAAGAAAAGGAUCUCGUUUCUCUGUUUCCACGUAUUCCUACCUUAAACCCUACCUCCUAAAAUCUUGAUACUGAGAUCCAAGCUUUCCCGCACUAUCGAGACUCUUUCUUCUUCACUUGAUACCUGUAUUUGAGAUAAUCUUUCAAAUGUGCUGGAAUGGCCAACAAUUCUCAACCCUCUAGUGCCCAGGUGCAACAUUGGCCUCCUGCAGUUGGAUCCUUGGGUCCUCAAAGUUAUGGCUCUCCCUUGUCUUCACAGUUUCGACCGCUGCUCCCAGCACAAUAAAGACAGCAUUUUGUUCCAGCUGCUUCCCAACAGUUUCGGCCUGUUGGGCAGGUCCCCUCUUCAAAUGUUGGGAUUCCAGCUGUUCAAAAUCCGCAGAUGCAGUUUUCUCAGCCAAUGCAGCAGUUUACACCCUGGCCAAAUCAACCUGUCUUUCUACACCUUCAGCACAGCCUAUACAAGUACCAUAUAGUCAAACAAAUAGAUCUCUUACGUCUGAAUCACCACAGUCACAUGAAACUGGUCCCCCUUUGAAUAGUCAUAUGCCAGGCUUAGGGGCCCCUGGAAUGCCCCCCUCUUCAUCAUAUAGUUUUGCACCAUCUUCUUUUGGCCUCCCCCAGAACAAUGUCAGCACACUGCCCCAGUUUCACCCUAUAACUUAAGUGCAUGCACCGGUUGCACCAGUUGCUGGACAACCUUGGUUGUUAACCGGAAAUCAGAGUGUUUCACUCGCUGCACUAAUACAGCAGGCUAGCCAACAACCUCCACUCAUUUCUUCUGCUGAUUGAGCUGCCAAUGUUCCUAGCCUUACUCUGCAAUCAUCUGACUGGUAAGAGCGUACAUCUGCCGAGGGAAGAAGAUACUAUUACGACAAAAAGACGAGGCAAUGUAGUUGGGAAAAGCCUCUGGAACUGAUGAUGCCAAUAGAGGUGAGGCACAUGAAAAUCUGGUUGCUGUUUCUGCAGUUAAAUUUUGUUCCAUGAUCUGUUAACCUUGGAUUUGUUGUGAUAUGCUAUUUAUACAAAUUGUUCCCUUUAAUGGAUGCUGAAAACUGUAACCAUUCUUAACUUGAUCAAAAUUGUUUUAUGCAAAAUCUCCUUUUUUUUGCUUGUUUUUGCAUUGGUUUGUAGACGUCAUGGCAAGUGUGGAGACAUUUAACGACUGCUCUAAAUGGUCACUUUGAGGGCGGGCCUUCACUUUUCUCAAGGCAGGCAACAUUUUGCUAUUUCCAUCUUGUUUAUAAUGUGGGAUAAUUUUUUUACAAGGAAUGAUUAGAUAUAUUGGCAUACUAAAUCAAUGCCUAGUAUUAACUGUUCAAUUUUUUCAUAAUUUCCUACUCUUUAGUGAAGUUUUUAGGAUGGCGAUAAUACUAUUCCCCCCAUUAAUACAGUUAUCCAAUCUACUUUUAGACUUAUAUUGCCUAGAUAUAUUUCUCUCUUUCUUUUGGUGGCUCUUUCACUAGUCCAUGUGUUUUUCUAAUACUGUAUCUUAUUUUAGGCAAACGUCAUUUAUGCUUCAUACUGCAAUGAAUUUAUAGAUUGAUGUAAAGGAAUUCAUUAUGCUCUUCAUUGUGUAUUUCUCUCGUAUUAAACCUUCUUUGUUGUUCACUUACAUCUGGUGCUUCUGAUUUUAUGUUGUUACUUGUUCACUUUUUUCCUCCUUUAUGGUUUUAUUGUUGCAAGCUUGUGUUUGUAAUGGUUUAUCAAGAGUUCCACAGGUACAUGUUGGCUACUGAUUUCAGAGGUAUGAAAUGCUGGGUCAAUGGCUCUUGUUGUAUUUAUCAUUUCUCUUACUUAAAUACUUGUUGCUAUUGAUUCUAUAAAGAUUCCUUUGGGAUGGAAUUUGAUGUCAAUAUAUGUUUUUUGUGUCGUAUGCAUUCUAGAAUUUGUGUUCUUUUUUCUGGGUAAUUUCUGAUGGUUCCCUGGAAAAUAUAUUUAAAGUUUCUUACUUGACUGAUGGGAACAUCUUUAAGAUUUGGCUUACGCAAAGUUUUACUAUUUGUAAUAAAAAAGUAUGAUUUACGUUUAGGUUCACCAUUGCACCUGAAGGAAAAGGGUUUUAUUUGUUGUUGAACUAAAUGAGGCAUAUGUUACCUUGGAUCCAUUUUAGAUGAUGUUAAGGGCAUGCAAGUUAAGAUUUCAAGAUUAACCCUAGCACAUUCACAAGGUGAAGAAGAAUUUGGAGGUUACCAGUGGGCUAAAUUCUCACCCAACAUUGAGAGCCAAUACACACCCUUUUAUUUUGCAUUUAAGAUGAACAACCAUUUGGAGUUGCUGUGUAAUUAUCAUUCUUAAGCAUCACAAUCCUAAGAUCAUUUCCUCCCCUUGGUGGUUUCCUGCCGUGCACUUUCACUAGAUCAAUUGCAGAAGAGAGCUUUAGGAGAGAGAACUUUGAGUAAUAUAAUGCACACUUACAAGAGAAAGCUAAAGAAAAGGAGCGCAAACGUGAGAAGGAAAAGGUGUGUGAAUCUUAACUAGAAUGUCCCAAGUAGUUGGUGGUUAAAAAUCCUGUAUAUUCAAAAAAAUAACUUUGACAUAUUUAUGAGGGACCUCACUCUUUGGUCACAAUUAAGUAACUUUAGUUUGUUUCAAACCUUUAAGUAUAUCAUAAUGGUGUGAAAUAAUAUGAGCACUUGUAUAUAGCAUUUUGUUUUUUAGCUUUCCCUUGAUUUUUCCUGAAUUAGAUAUGCAUUUCAUAUGGUAUAAAACCACACGGUUGGUUGCAGGCUAAAAAGGAGAAAGAGAAGGAGAGAAAGGAGAAGGAAAGAGAACAUGAAAGGGAAAAAGGAAAGGAGCGAACUAAAAAAGAUGAAACAUAUAGUGAGAAUUUAGAUAUUUCUGACAGUUAUCGCCAUAAAGAGGGCAAGAAAAAGGAGAAGCAAAAAGUUAGGAAACACUGUAAAUGACAAGUGCUGCUGAUGACGGGAGUUCAGACAAGGUGAUAGAUAGGAGUCCAAGAAUUCUCAUAGACAUGUCAGUGCCGUAAGAAAUCAAGAAAGCAUGCACACUCACCUGAAUCAGACAGUGAAAGCCGGUAUAAAAAGCGCAAGAGAGAUCAUCGUGAUGGAUUGCAUAGAAGCAGUGGUUAUGAGGACCUGGAAGAUGGUGAACUCGUUGAGGAUGGUGAAAUCCAGUGGUUUCCUAUUCUAUUGAUGCAAAAUGCAAAGAAACCAAUUUGGCGAUUUAUUAAACUACUUGAGAUUUUAUUGCUACGUUGUUGUAUUUUAUAAGCUUAAUUGUAAUUGUCUAUAGAUUUAGGACUUUUAGAUUAUUUAGGCAA